rnacentral:sRNA from 1 species
UACUAUGACAAAAGAUGCUGCAAAAGUGGUCAAGGACACUUGCUUGGGGGAACUGUAUCCUAAAACAUUCCUAGUUUGUUUUUUGAGACGGAGUCUUGCUCUGUCGCCCGGCUGGAGUGCAGUGGCGUGAUCUCAGCUCACUGCAACCUCUGCCUUCCAGGUUCAAGCGAUUCUCCUGCCUCAGCCUCCCGAGUAGCUGGGAUUGCAGGCACCCGCCACCAUGCCCAGCUAAUUUUUGUAUUUUUAGUAGACACGAGGUUUUGCCAUGUUGGCCAGGUUGGUCUCGAACUCCUGACCUCACAUGAUAUGACUGCCUUGGCCUCCCAAAGUGCUGGGAUUACAGGCGUGAGCCACUGUGUCCUGCUGCAUUCCUAGUUUACAUUGAAGACUCUUUGAAACGUUCAGACCGCCUAGCAUUUUUCAUUGGAAAGGUACCACAAGAGCCAGGCCAUCUAUCUGGAGUCAAAGGACAACCAGAAACUGAGCUGCGUGAUCAGUUCUGUAGG